UACGGGGGGGGCAAGCGUUGUUCGGAUUUACUGGGCGUAAAGGGUUUGUAGGUGGCUUGUUAAGUCAGACGUGAAAUCCCUCAGCUUAACUGGGGAACUGCGUCUGAUACUGGCGAGCUUGAGUGCAGGAGAGGAACGCGGAAUUCCAGGUGUAGCGGUGAAAUGCGUAGAUAUCUGGAGGAACACCGGUGGCGAAGGCGGCGCUCUGGACUGCAACUGACACUGAGAAACGAAAGCCAGGGUAGCAAACGGG
rnacentral:rRNA from 1 species